rnacentral:rRNA from 1 species
AGUGGCGGACGGGUGAGUAACACGUGGGUAACCUGCCCUUAAGUGGGGGAUAACAUUUGGAAACAGAUGCUAAUACCGCAUAGAUCCAAGAACCGCAUGGUUCUUGGCUGAAAGAUGGCGUAAGCUAUCGCUUUUGGAUGGACCCGCGGCGUAUUAGCUAGUUGGUGAGGUGAUGGCUCACCAAGGCGAUGAUACGUAGCCGAACUGAGAGGUUGAUCGGCCACAUUGGGACUGAGACACGGCCCAAACUCCUACGGGAGGCAGCAGUAGGGAAUCUUCCACAAUGGACGCAAGUCUGAUGGAGCAACGCCGCGUGAGUGAAGAAGGCUUUCGGGUCGUAAAACUCUGUUGUUGGAGAAGAAUGGUCGGCAGAGUAACUGUUGUCGGCGUGACGGUAUCCAACCAGAAAGCCACGGCUAACUACGUGCCAGCAGCCGCGGUAAUACGUAGGUGGCAAGCGUUAUCCGGAUUUAUUGGGCGUAAAGCGAGCGCAGGCGGUUUUUUAAGUCUGAUGUGAAAGCCCUCGGCUUAACCGAGGAAGCGCAUCGGAAACUGGGAAACUUGAGUGCAGAAGAGGACAGUGGAACUCCAUGUGUAGCGGUGAAAUGCGUAGAUAUAUGGAAGAACACCAGUGGCGAAGGCGGCUGUCUGGUCUGUAACUGACGCUGAGGCUCGAAAGCAUGGGUAGCGAACAGGAUUAGAUACCCUGGUAGUCCAUGCCGUAAACGAUGAAUGCUAGGUGUUGGAGGGUUUCCGCCCUUCAGUGCCGCAGCUAACGCAUUAAGCAUUCCGCCUGGGGAGUACGAC